CACGGGGGGAGCGAACGUUGUUCGGAAUCACUGGGCGUAAAGGGCGCGUAGGCGGCCUGGUCAGUGAAACGUGAAAGCCCCUGGCUCAACCAGGGAAUGUCGUUUCAUACUGCCAGGCUUGAGGACGGGAGAGGAGAGGGGAAUUCCCGGUGUAGCGGUGAAAUGCACUGAUAUCGGGAGGAACACCAGUGGCGAAGGCGCCUCUCUGGCCCGUUCCUGACGCUCAGGCGCGAAAGCAGGGGGAGCAAACAGGAUUAGAUACCCUGGUAGUCCCUGCCGUAAACGGUGAACACUAGGUGUGGGGGGCAUCGACCCCUUCCGUGCCGCAGCUAACGCAUUAAGUGUUCCGCCUGGGGAGUACGACCGCAAGGUUGAA
rnacentral:rRNA from 1 species